UACGUAGGGUGCAAGCGUUGUCCGGAAUUAUUGGGCGUAAAGAGCUCGUAGGUGGCUCGUCACGUCGGGUGUGAAAGCCCGGGGCUUAACCCCGGGUCUGCAUUCGAUACGGGCGGGCUAGGGUCCGGCAGGGGAGACUGGAAUUCCUGGUGUAGCGGUGAAAUGCGCAGAUAUCAGGAGGAACACCGGUGGCGAAGGCGGGUCUCUGGACAGUUCCUGACGCUGAGGCACGAAGGCCAGGGGAGCAAACGGG
rnacentral:rRNA from 1 species